UAUGGAAGGCAGCAGUGGGGAAUAUUGCACAAUGGGCGCAAGCCUGAUGCAGCCAUGCCGCGUGUAUGAAAAAGGCCUUCGGGUUGUAAAGUACUUUCAGUCGUGAGGAAGGUGUUAAGGUUAAUAACCUUAGCAAUUGACGUUAGCGACAGAAGAAGCACCGGCUAACUCCGUGCCAGCAGCCGCGGUAAUACGGAGGGUGCGAGCGUUAAUCGGAAUUACUGGGCGUAAAGGGCACGCAGGCGGUUAAUUAAGUUGGAUGUGAAAUCCCCGGGCUUAACCUGGGAAUGGCAUUCAAGACUGGUUAGCUAGAGUCUUGUAGAGGGGGUAGAAUUCCGAUGUGUAGCGGUGAAAUGCGUAGAGAUGUGGAGGAAUACCGGUGGCGAAGGCGGCCCCUGGACAAAGGACUGACGCUCGAUGUGCGAAAGCGUGGGGAGCAAACAGGGAUUAGAUACC
rnacentral:rRNA from 1 species